UACGUAGGGUGCGAGCGUUGUCCGGAUUUAUUGGGCGUAAAGGGCUCGUAGGCGGCGUGUCGCGUCGGGAGUGAAAGCCCGUUGCUUAACGGCGGGUUGGCUUUCGGUACGGGCAUGUCUGGAGUGCGGCAGGGGAGACUGGAAUUCCUGGUGUAGCGGUGGAAUGCGCAGAUAUCAGGAGGAACACCGGUGGCGAAGGCGGGUCACUGGGCCGCAACUGACGCUGAGGAGCGAAAGCAUGGGGAGCGAACAGG
rnacentral:rRNA from 1 species